rnacentral:lncRNA from 1 species
GAGCAAAAAGAUGGAGCAGAGAGUAAGGAGGAGCAUGGUUCAGGAAGAGGCUGAAAGGUAGAAGGCAGACAAUUCAUUAAUUUAGUAAACAUUUACUGGGAACCUGCUAAAGCCCAACGUACGGAGAAAUCACGAAGUGGUAAAGAAUUUUUCUCUCAAGGAAUCAUUUAGUCUGGCAGAAGAUGGACACACACACAUUUGUAGAUAUAAUAUAAUAUAAUACAAUCAGUAUCGUAACAGCGGUCGGAACAAAAUGCUGUGGGAGCGCAAUAGGAGUAAUUAAUUCUGAUUGAGGAGGAACAGGAAGGAAGGAAUCGGCGAAGAUUGCAUGGAGUAAUUGACAUUUGAGCUGAGCCUUAAACCUAUUCCAGGCAACAGCUUGGAGAGAGGCACGAGAUGUAACAGUGACUAAAUGUACAAGUAUGACCCUUUCUGAAGUCAGAAGGGUGUGACAGAUGGCUCUUUAUGGACCCUUUCAGUUCCAGCCUCCUAUAUUUUUACAGCAGGCCAGAAGUCCCAGCAGAUGGAAGUGUUAUACGUUGGAUUAUUGGGAUGCUGAAAUGGGCCACCCACAUCCUCACUUCAGGAAGGAAGGAUUUGCUCCCCCAGCUGAUUCAGUGAUUGCCAGA